AAUUCUGUAGCUCAGUGGUAAGAGCACUCGCCUCCUAAGCGAGAGAAACUGGGUUCGAUUCCCAGCAGGGUGA